UUAAGUUCAGCGGGUAUCCCUACCUGAUCCGAGGUCAACCUUAAGAAGUGGGGGGUUGCUGGCAAGCCGCGCCCGGGACCCUAUAGCGAGGAGUAUUACUACGCUUAGAGCCCGGCCGUGCCGCCACUGACUUUGAGGCCCGCCGACCGGCGAAGCCCAAGACCAGCAGGCUGGAUUGGUUAUAAUGACGCUCGAACAGG
rnacentral:misc_RNA from 1 species